AGUGAACGCUGGCGGUAGGCCUAACACAUGCAAGUCGAACGGCAGCACAGUAAGAGCUUGCUCUUACGGGUGGCGAGUGGCGGACGGGUGAGGAAUACAUCGGAAUCUACUUUUUCGUGGGGGAUAACGUAGGGAAACUUACGCUAAUACCGCAUACGACCUACGGGUGAAAGCAGGGGAUCUUCGGACCUUGCACGAUUGAAUGAGCCGAUGUCGGAUUAGCUAGUUGGCGGGGUAAAGGCCCACCAAGGCGACGAUCCGUAGCUGGUCUGAGAGGAUGAUCAGCCACACUGGAACUGAGACACGGUCCAGACUCCUACGGGAGGCAGCAGUGGGGAAUAUUGGACAAUGGGCGCAAGCCUGGUCCAGCCAUACCGCGUGGGUGAAGAAGGCCUUCGGGUUGUAAAGCCCUUUUGUUGGGAAAGAAAAGCAGCAGGUUAAUACCCCGCUGUUCUGACGGUACCCAAAGAAUAAGCACCGGCUAACUUCGUG
rnacentral:rRNA from 1 species